UUGUGUUGUGUUGUUUUGUUUGUUUUUAAGCGUUAACACCGUCGACGAAGGGCGCGAGCCUCUUGCGAGUUUGCGGUCGAAUUUGACAAUGACUCUUACAGCUGUUAGCUGAGAUUGGAAAGCGAGUUUAUUGAUUCCCCUUGCCAAAAGCGGGCCCUCUGCUGGAGUUUGAGACCGAAAUGUUUCUGAGCCCGUCCAGUUGUGACGGGCUGCUCGUGGUGGCGGAGGGGCUGGGAAGAGACCGCAUUCUGCUGGAGUUUCAUGCGGUGGACUCGGAACAAGGAGGCCUGGUUCUACGACUUCACGCUACCACCCCUGAACAACUCAGCACCCCCGCGCAGCUCAACACCACAAAGAAAUUUUGAUCAGAUUCAGAAAAAAAUAGCAUGCGGUUCUUCAGCCCCCGGCCCCGUUGGGACCAGCAGAGAGCACCCCGCAAGCAUCCAGACGCGACUUGCGGACUUGCGUCUCAACUUUUCCAGCGGAGUUGCCCUGAUCUACAAAGCAUCUUGAAACAAUGAAUAAAGUUGGCUUGCACGUUUGGAA